rnacentral:tRNA from 1 species
UCCCCGGUGGCUCAGAUGGUAAAGAAUCUGCCUGCAAUGCAGGAGAUCCAGGUUCAAUCCCUGGGUCAGGAA